rnacentral:rRNA from 1 species
UACGGAGGGUGCAAGCGUUAUCCGGAUUCACUGGGUUUAAAGGGUGCGUAGGUGGCUUUGUAAGUCAGUGGUGAAAUCUUAGAGCUUAACUCUAAAACUGCCAUUGAUACUGCUUAGCUUGAAUCAAGUCGAGGUGGAUGGAAUAUUACAUGUAGCGGUGAAAUGCUUAGAUAUGUAAUAGAACACCGAUUGCGAAGGCAGUUCACUAGGCUUGUAUUGACACUGAGGCACGAAAGCGUGGGGAUCAAACAGG